CCCUUAGAUGUUCGGGGCCGCACGCGCGCUACACUGAAGGAAUCAUCGUGUCUUAUCCUUGUCCGACAGGACCGGGUAACCCGUUGAACCUCCUUCGUGCUAGGGAUUGGGGCUUGUAAUUUUUCCCCAUGAACGAGGAAUUCCCAGUAAGCGCGAGUCAUCAGCUUGCAUUGAUUAUGUCCCUGCCCUUUGUACACACCGCCCGUCGCUCCUACCGAUUGAAUGUUCCGAUGAAUACCAUGGACUGAGAGUAUGAAUGGGUUCGCCUAUUUCUGCUUCUCGGGAAGUGGAGUAAAUCUUAACAUUUAGAGGAAGGAGAAGUCGUAACA
rnacentral:rRNA from 1 species